GAUCAUGGCUCAGGAUGAACGCUAGCUACAGGCUUAACACAUGCAAGUCGAGGGGCAGCGAGAAGAAAGCUUGCUUCUUGUCGGCGACCGGCGCACGGGUGAGUAACGCGUAUCCAACCUUCCCCUUAGUAGAGGAUAGCCCGGCGAAAGUCGGAUUAAUACUCUAUGUUUUUCCGUUGAUGGCAUCUGAAAUGGAUCAAAGGUUUACCGCUAAGGGAUGGGGAUGCGUCUGAUUAGGUAGUCGGCGGGGUAACGGCCCACCGAGCCGACGAUCAGUAGGGGUUCUGAGAGGAAGGUCCCCCACAUUGGAACUGAGACACGGUCCAAACUCCUACGGGAGGCAGCAGUGAGGAAUAUUGGUCAAUGGGCGAGAGCCUGAACCAGCCAAGUAGCGUGCAGGAUGACGGCCCUAUGGGUUGUAAACUGCUUUUGCACGGGAAUAAAGUGCGGGACGCGUCCCGUUUUGUAUGUACCAUGAGAAUAAGGACCGGCUAAUUCCGUGCCAGCCGCGGC
rnacentral:rRNA from 1 species